AAACUGAGCCUGCCUGUCAAAUUUGAGCUCAAUCGGACAUUCAGAAGGGCUCCAACGAAACUUAUCAGAUUUAGGGACUGAAUUGAAAGAUUGAAUAGUUGAGGGGCUAACUCGUAAAAAGGGAUUAAAUCCCUUUCUUCCUCAACCGUGGCUGCCCCAAACCGAGCCACACACACACAAACGCACACCCACACACGCAUGGAAGGGAAAAGAGAGAAAUCUCUUUCUCUCUCUAGAUUUCUCCCGAAGAGAGAGGAUUUUGGUGGAGGUUGAUGCUCAAGGAGGAUUUUUAUCUUCUCCAACUUCUUCCUCUCCAUUGGAGCAAGGUUUGAAGGUAACGAAACACGUUGGCGAAGACGGUUCGGCAAUCCGACGAGCCGUUACAAAGUUAUUAAAGAAACGGACGUUUAGGCUUCGUUUCCGCCUGGAGGGCCGAGGCGACGUCGGAAAAUCGUGGAAACGGAUUUGAAGCACCGUAGCGAGAAACCGAAGACCUAUAAUUUCCAGAUCGCGAAUCGGAGGUCGUUUGGUGGUCGCGCACGGAUUGGGUCGAGCCGAGCGGCGUGCGCCGCGGGAGGCCGAUUGCAAGUGACGACGAGCAAUCGGAACGCGGUAAAAGGUACACACGAGAGCGGAUCGGCAGAGGAUCGCGGUAUGGGCUUAGUGCCCUAGUGCUAGUUGGUAGUUUACUUUCCUAUUUUGCAUUAGAGUUACCCUAUACAUGUAUUGAGAGUAGAUGAUGUAUAGGAUAUGAGGUAUCGAGA